AUAUUGGUUGUGUAACUUGGCGAAUUACUUGAAUAGCAUCCCCUUAAAAGGAUAUAUUAAAUAUCCUUUACGCGGCAGGCAAGGCGCUAACCAUUAGGAACACAAAGAGAACAUGGUACAGAUGGUCUCUCCUUCCUUAUCUCUCUGGGCCCCGCCUUGUCCCCUAUGUAAAAUAUCUGCCUACCUCUACCUUAUGUGACUGUUGUCACGAUGGUAAUGUGAUACAGAGAGCAAGCACGCUGAACAAAGCUGCUGUAGAAGACGAAGUACACUAUUAUCUUGAAUAAUAUCACAACACAGGAUGCGAUUGUCUUCUGCAUUAAAACCAUGGACCCUCGGGGGAGCGUGUGGAGCGUGACUACUCGGGCCUCCAGCCCCGACUUCCGGUCUGCCGCGCGCCUCUGCAACUGCGCAUGCGCAGCUGGCUGACUGUCCACUCAGCGGUUUACCCUGAAGAACGGUUCUCAGCUCCUGGGGAAGUGGGCAAGAGGCUAAAAGCCCGAGUUCCAAGGCGCGCUUGGUAAAACCAUACACAUCUGAGUACCUGCCUGUGACAGAUAUAAAAGGACAAUCACCAGUCUUCUGGGAGAUGAGGUUUCAGGUGGGUUCUUUAUCACUAGUGCCACCUGGGGAGCCGGUAACUGAACUAUAGCGGAAGUAAUAAGCAUGAAGAAACUGAGGUUCAUAGAGGUGAGGUGACACAGCCAGUGAGGUACAGAGAUGGGAUAUGGUUCCAAGAAGUCCAGCUUCAUUUUCUGUACUUCUUAUCCAUUGUUCUAUUUUGCCUGGUAAGCCUACAAAGUUGGAAAAGUGUCCGCAUAAGCCAUUCGGUGGAUCAUGCCCCUUCCUCCUCCAGAGUCUGUCCUCCGAGAACUGCGGCAGGAACUAAUCUUGCCCCCGCUGCUGCUCUUUGCAGAGCUGCCAAAACCUCAGUGGAUCAUGAUACUCCAAGUAGGAAGAUCAGAAAUAAACUCCUCUCCAGUUUACUAGCCCCCUGAAGGCAAACCAGCACUACCCUCACUUACUGCUUUGAAAUUCUCUUUUAUUGUUUGCAUAAGAUUUCCUUUUAUUAAGUGUGGGAUUCAAAAAGGUUUUCAAAUAAUUACUACAGUUAGUCUAAAUGUAAGAAAGCUAAAAGGAAAACUGUUUGCAAUUAGGAUUUGCAUAAUUUCUUUAACGCUGCCUAAGUUAUCUACAUUUGUAGCUAAAAGCAGGGCAGUGUUUUGGAUGAAACAAAAUGAAAUCCAUUUGCCAAGCUGGUCCUGACCUUCAGCAUUUCUUUUAAGCAUCUCAUCUUGUUAUGGGAACCCAAGUAAUUAGAUACUUGAGCACUUAUUCAGAGAAUUGUUUUAUAUCCUUGCUUAUAUAUCUUAAGUGAAUUUUUUAAAAGCAAGAAGGUCAAUUUAUGGGAUUUCAAACAUAAGUCAGUAGAUAUUUUGAAUCAUUUUCGCUCAUAGAUGGCCUUCACAUUCUCACAAAUUUCAUCAGAAAAACACUCAGUUCUUCUCACUCAAAAAAAUUCAUGUUUUAUGGGUACCUAUAUAUAACUAUAAAUUAACAUAAAUAUAUACAUCAACUACUGCCAAUUAGUGUGGAUUUACAAGCAGCAUCCAAUAACCCUGAUGAUGUGAAAGUACAUCAGCCACGAGACAACCCUGGGAAAUGAAUGGGAAUCUCAGCAAGUAUUUAACUUAAGAGUAGGUGGAGGAGACUCAUUACUGUCCUGGCUUGUUGCCUUGUUCUGUUUGAAACCUUGAUUAAAGAAAUAACAAACAUGGGAUGCUAAUUAAACUGUUUGACCAGUUUCAAUAAACAAGCAGGUCUAAUUUGGGGAGCAAAGAGAGGGGAUAAAAUACUACAGCUCUGCUAUUCAUUUUCCUACAUCAGUUCUUUGAUUCCUGCUGUAAGAUUUCAUAUCUCCAAAGACCUCCAGAUCAGCAGAGUAGUUGAUUUAAGGGUAAAGAGAGAGGGAAACUCGGUGAAGCUGUCAACUCAGUGAAGCUUCCUACAAGCUACAGCUUGCAGGCCUUCAUGUGAUGGCAGCCCAUGAUUGCAGCCUGUCCUGCUCAUAGGCUUUCACCUCGUAGCGCAUGUUCUAAGUCCUGAAGACUGUGUUUAAGUGUAAAUAGCCUUGCCUGGCUUAAGCAAGCAAAACUGUUCCUUUAGUUCAGUGCACACACAGCUUGAAGGCCAGUGUCCUGGGCUUACCAGUUGUAUCUCUACAUAAAAUGAAUGUCAGCAAUACCCGAGUGUAUAAUAUUGUCUAUUAGAUGGUGCAUAAAGGCCUUCACUGUGUGUACAUACCGUAGCCACACAGAAAACAUUACAAAAUGAGCCUGCUUUUAGCCCACUGCCUCAUACAGUGGUAAUUAAGGAGAACUGCUUUUUGAUUUGCAACUAUUUGCUGUUCUGCAGGAAAAACAGAGCUUAGAGCAUCUUGUUCCAUUUGUUGUUGCCAUGCUUAAUCUUCUGAUUCAUGUGGAAUUAUUACACCCAGUACCUAUGGGGAAUUUAAUUGUUUGGCUCCUACUCCUCUGGCAAGUGUAAUUAUGGAGGAGGAGGAUCUAUAGAUUAACAUUUUUAAAAAGCUUCAUCCAAGAAAAAAUAAAUAAAGGGAGGUGGAGUUUUUUGUAAAACCUCAUAUUGAAUAACACGCAGGGUUGGAAUAGUGCCAGUACUGAGCUUAAGAGAAAACGUCAAUGCCUAAAUGGGAGGUCAAAUCAGGGCCACACAGCUCAGAAGUUUGAUCCCAUCACCAUUUACUUGGAGAUCAGCACCCCUCAUCUACUCCUUAAAUAUUUGUAGAUAAUUGGGAUACAUUUCGCAUGAUGUAUAAAAAUAUAAAAUGACGUGGUUUUGAGUGAAUUUGGGAUGCAAAUGUUUAAAUCUGUUUCUAUUUCUAUUAAUAAAGUUCUCUUUUUCUGCAAACAUAGAUUAGUAAGAGACCUGGAUUUCUCCAAUAAUUUGGA
rnacentral:lncRNA from 1 species